CCGCUUUUAGCUCAGUGGUCGAGCGUUGGCUUUGGAAGCCACAAGUCGGUUGUUCGAACCCACCAGGGCACA
rnacentral:tRNA from 1 species